rnacentral:rRNA from 1 species
AAGCGCUUGCAACCAGACUUGUGAACGGUGUUCCGCCGGUCUUUUGACCGGUCCAUUCGCCGUCUACAGGCCAGCAUCGUCUGGAGCCGUUGGAUAAAGGCGUGAGGAAUGUAGCUCCCUCGGGAGUGUUAUAGCCUCUCGCGCAAUACGGCGUGCUCCGGGCGAGGUCCGCGCUUCGGCUAGGAUGCUGGCGUAAUGGUCGUAAGCGG